rnacentral:lncRNA from 1 species
GGAAAGUGGCGAGGCGGUGCAGGAAACCGUGAUGCUUGGGCUUGUGUUGAAGCUGUGAAGCCAAGGUCAAGAUUUCCGAGGGAACCCUUGCACAAGCACUUCCUGUCUGAGGAGAACAUGGCCACCCAUUUCUCCCGACUCAGCCUACAUAAUGACCACCCCUAUUGCAGUCCCCCUGUGACUUUUCCCGAAGCCCUGCCACCACUCAGGAUAACCCCAGUCCCUACUACUCUGCGUCCCCAGCUGGGGAGAUCA